GCCCUUGGCAGACUCCCAUGCGAAGCCCUGAGGAGUCCAAGAAUGCUAAAUUUGAAACUGACCUUCGGGGUAUUAUGAAGAUACACGUAUCAAGAGAACCUGUUGACAACUCUAGAGGAAACAGGAGAUGAUGUGAUCCUGGACCCAGAAACUACCAGUGCUUACCUCCAAGAAGCGGAGAGUGAGCUGAGCGUGAUAAACACAGGCAAGAAGCAGUCUGAGCCUUCCAGCCCACUGAGCUUCUCCUUCUGUGUGCUGGGGGACUGUGGGGUUCUCACCAGGCAGACACUACCGGGACGUGGAGGUGACUUUUGGUGGCUACUGGGGGCUCAACAUGGUCAAAAAAUCUGUGAAUAAGAAAGAGUGGUUUAAACUAAAGCUGGAAGAAGGCAUCUGGGCAAUCGGGCUCUCACCUACCCCUGCACUGACACCUUAACAGACAGACCCCGGAAGAUUCAAGUGUCUUUAGAAGGGGGCCAGGUAUCAUUCUACAAUACGGAGAGCUUAACCCCCUUCUUCACCUUCUCAGCCACGUUUACUGAGAAAAAUCUUUCCUUUUUUUUGGCUGCCCUCCAAAGGGGCCAGUAUUACCCUCUGCCUCUAAUAGGAAGCCCCUUCUGAGCAUAUCUCCUACCAAGAAACUUGGAGUGUGGGGCAUAAGCACCCAGGAGUGCUUCUGCAGCCGUCUUUGCUGAUGCCAGGAGACAGGCUUCUGCUGCUUGUGGGACAGUUUGCAGGGAGUAGACAUAAAAUAAACAGGACAUUUCUCACCAUGCACCUUAUCCCAUUUUAAUGUGGUAGCCAUGCAAAACUUUUCUGAACUCAUUCCUUCCUUCUAUUUUCAUUUUCAUUAAAUGCCAUUUAAAACUCUACUUCAAACUCACUAGUAAAACCCAACUCAGCUGCCCUAAAAACUCUCCUUCAAAUAAUGACAAGGAGAGCAAAUGAAGAUAAUUGUGUAGCUAUA